rnacentral:rRNA from 5 species
GAUUAGCCAUGCAUGUCUAAGUACAUGCCGUAUUAAGGCGAAACCGCGAAUGGCUCAUUAAAUCAGUCAUGGUUCCUUGGAUCGUACCUUACUACUUGGAUAACUGUGGCAAUUCUAGAGCUAAUACAUGCAGCAGAGCUCCGACCUUCGGGGACGAGCGCUUUUAUUAGACCAAAACCAAUCGGACCUCGUGUCCGUCCUUUGUGGUGACUCUGUAUAACUUUGGGCUGAUCGCACGGGCCUGUCCCGGCGACGUAUCUUUCAAGUGUCUGCCUUAUCAACUUUCGAUGGUAGGUUACGCGCCUACCAUGGUCGUAACGGGUAACGGGGAAUCAGGGUUCGAUUCCGGAGAGGGAGCCUGAGAAACGGCUACCACAUCCAAGGAAGGCAGCAGGCGCGCAAAUUACCCACUCCCAGAACGGGGAGGUAGUGACGAAAAAUAACAAUACGGGACUCUUUUGAGACCCCGUAAUUGGAAUGAGUACACUCUAAAUCCUUUAACGAGGAUCCAUUGGAGGGUAAGUCUGGUGCCAGCAACCGCGGUAAUUCCAGCUCCAAUAGCGUAUAUUAAAGUUGUUGCGGUUAAAAAGCUCGUAGUUGGAUCUCAGUUCCAGACGGGUGGUCCGCCUACCGGUGGUUACUGCCUGUUCUGAACAGUCAGCCGGUUUCUCUUGAUGAUCUUCACCGGUUGUCUUGGGUGACCGGCAAGUUUACUUUGAAAAAAUUAGAGUGCUCAAGCAGGCGUGACGCCUGAAUAAUGGUGCAUGGAAUAAUGGAAUAGGACCUCGGUUCUAUUUUGUUGGUUUUCGGAACACGAGGUAAUGAUUAAGAGGGACAGACGGGGGCAUUCGUAUUGCGACGCUAGAGGUGAAAUUCUUGGACCGUCGCAAGACGAACUACUGCGAAAGCAUUUGCCAAGAAUGUUUCCAUUAAUCAAGAACGAAAGUUAGAGGUUCGAAGGCGAUCAGAUACCGCCCUAGUUCUAACCAUAAACGAUGCCAGCCAGCGAUCCGGCUGUGU